rnacentral:rRNA from 1 species
UACGGGAGGGGCAAGCGUUAUUCGGAUUUAAUGGGCGUAAAGGGUGCGUAGGUUAUAUUAUAGAUUAAAUAUGAAAGACCAAUGCUUAAUAUUGGAACUGUAUUUAAAAUCGUUUUAUUUCGAGUUAGACAGAGGUUUUUAGAAUUCUCAAAGUAAAGGUAAUAUUUUUCGAUAAUGAGAGGAAUACUAAUUGCGAAGGCAAGUUUCUGGGUCUAUACUGACAUUGAGGCACGAAGGCGUGGGUAGCAAACAGGAUUAGAUACCCUGGUAGUCCACGCAGUAAACGAUGAGUGUUAAAUAUUGGAAUUUAGUUUUCAGUGUUACAGCUAACGCGUUAAACACUCCGCCUGGGGAGUACGAUCGCAAGGUUGAAACUUAAAGGAAUUGACGGGAACUCGCACAAACGGUGGAGCAUGUGGUUUAAUGCGAUAACACACGCAGAACCUUACCAGUUUUUGACAUAUGUCUUAAGAGGCUUUAUAGCUUUUUUUCGGGCAAUACAGGUGUUGCAUGGCUGCCGUCAGCUCGUGUCGUGAGAUGUUUGGUUAAGUCUACUAAACGAGCGAAGCCCUUGUUAAUAGUUGCUAGUAAUAGAACCGCUAACCCGGAUUUUAUUAAAGAACUCUAUUAAGAUAUUCAAAGAAAUUUUGAAGGAAGAGGAGGAUGACGUUAAGUCUUCAUGGCCCUUAUAAACUGGGCUACACAUGUGCUACAAUGGAUUUAGCAAAGAGUUACAAGAAUGCAAGUUGGAGUGAAUCUUUAAGUAUUUUCGGAGUUCGGAUUAUUUUCUGCAAUUUGAAAAUAUGAAGCAGGAAUCGCUAGUAAUCGUAAAUCAGCAGGUUACGGUGAAUAGGUUAUUGAGUUC